ACAUCUUCUUCUUCUUCAUUCUACUUUAAUUCUGCAGACAGCUUUUCCUGUGCUGUUAAAGGACAUGAGGAUUUCCCCUCUCUUCCAGUUUGUCUCGAUGGUCAAUCCUGCAACAGAGUGACUUACACUGACAGAAGCAUCUGUGCCUUCAGAGGCUCAUCAGUGGACAUUUCCUGCUCAUACAACAGUUUAGGAUCUAUCACAUCAACAUUCUGGUUCAGUCCUGAACGUAGUCAUCAGUGGCAGAAUCCCUCACAGCCUGAGGACCUUAGGAAAGACUCCCAGUAUGCAGGUCGUGUUCAGUUCCUUAAUCCAGAGAGAGGACGCUCCACUCUGAGAAUCUCUGACCUGAGAGAGAGCGAUUCAGCCCAGUAUCACUUCACAUUCAAAACACAAUGGAUUGAAUGGGGGAGUAGUUUACCUGGAACAACUCUGACUGUCACAGCUCUCCAGGUGCAGGUGAUCACAAUAACAGUCCAUCAGUCUUAUACCGAGGCAGAGCUGAAAUGUCUCAGCAGCUGCAGUCCAGCAGGUCGUAUUUCUUACGUCUGGUUCAAGAACGGACAGAAAGUUAUGAAGGAGGAAACUUCUCUUUAUUCAGGGC